CAGCCCCAGGUCAGAAUCAGAUUCAGAAAGGGCUUUAUUGCCAAGUACGUUUUUUAUACAUACAAAGAAUUUGUCAUGGUAUUGUUGGUGCAUGUCACACAUUCUCUAAAUAUAAGAUGGAUAAAGAGAAUAUAAACAAUAUAAGUAUAAACAUAUUCACACAGUAUGUAUUAUUACAGAUACAAAUAAGUGU